GACGAACCGUGCAAACGUUGUUCGGAAUCACUGGGCUUAAAGGGCGCGUAGGCGGAUCCAUCAGUCUGUGGUGAAAUCCUCCAGCUUAACUGGAGAAGUGCCAUGGAUACUUUGGGUCUCGAGGAGGAUAGGGGCAUCUGGAACUGCCGGUGGAGCGGUGAAAUGCGUUGAUAUCGGCAGGAACUCCGGUGGCGAAGGCGAGAUGCUGGAUCCUUUCUGACGCUGAGGCGCGAAAGCCAGGGGAGCAAACGGG
rnacentral:rRNA from 1 species